GAUAACAUAUAAUAUAUAUAAGGAAGACCAAAAAAUAAAAAAAAAUAAAAAAGUCCAAACAACUUUUUAAAUAGAUUUAUUUAAACUCCUUCUCUUUUAAUAGUAUUGAUAUUAUUAUAGUAUUAAAAUUUGGUUAAUGUUGAUGCUUUAAAGCACUCACUUCUAGAACAUUUAAGUUUUGUAUGCAGAAAACCCAAAACAUCAUGUCAAGGGCUGGGCACAUAUCGUAUAUC
rnacentral:lncRNA from 1 species